rnacentral:tRNA from 1 species
GCUGGUGUAGCUCAAUUGGUAGAGCAGCUGACUUGUAAUCAGCAGGUUGGGGAUUCAAGUUCUCUCGCCAGCUCCA